UACGGAGGGGGCUAGCGUUGUUCGGAAUUACUGGGCGUAAAGCGCGCGUAGGCGGCCCAUCAAGUCAGGGGUGAAAGCCCGGGGCUCAACCCCGGAAUUGCCUUUGAGACUGAUGGGCUCGAGUUCGGGAGAGGAGAGUGGAAUUCCCAGUGUAGAGGUGAAAUUCGUAGAUAUUGGGAAGAACACCGGUGGCGAAGGCGGCUCUCUGGCCCGAGACUGACGCUGAGGCGCGAAAGCGUGGGGAGCAAACAGG
rnacentral:rRNA from 1 species